UGAGAUGUGAAGAUUCGAUGUGUUAUGCUGU
rnacentral:piRNA from 1 species